UACGUAGGGUGCAAGCGUUGUCCGGAAUUAUUGGGCGUAAAGAGCUCGUAGGCGGUCUGUCGCGUCUGCUGUGAAAAACUCGGGGCUUAACCCCGGGCCUGCAGUGGGUACGGGCAGACUAGAGUGCGGUAGGGGAGACUGGAAUUCCCGGUGUAGUGGUGAAAUGCGUAGAUAUCGGGAGGAACACCAGUGGCGAAGGCGACUUCCUGGCCUGUUCUUGACGCUGAGGCGCGAAAGCUAGGGGAGCAAACGGGG
rnacentral:rRNA from 1 species